UACGGGGGAGCAAGCGUUGUUCGGAUUUACUGGGCGUAAAGGGCGCGUAGGCGGCCAGCACAAGUCAGUUGUGAAAUCUCCGAGCUUAACUCGGAAAGGUCAACUGAUACUGUGCGGCUAGAGUGCGGAAGGGGCAACUGGAAUUCUUGGUGUAGCGGUGAAAUGCGUAGAUAUCAAGAGGAACACCUGCGGCGAAGGCGGGUUGCUGGGCCGACACUGACGCUGAGGCGCGAAAGCCAGGGGAGCGAACGGG
rnacentral:rRNA from 1 species